AGUUUGAUCAUGGCUCAGAACGAACGCUGGGCGGCAGGCCUAACACAUGCAAGUCGAGCGAACCCUUCGGGGUUAGCGGCGGACGGGUUAGUAACGCGUGGGAAUAUACCCUUUGGUACGGAAUAGCCUCGGGAAACUGAGAGUAAUACCGUAUGUGCCCUUCGGGGGAAAGAUUUAUCGCCAAAGGAUUAGCCCGCGUUGGAUUAGAUAGUUGGUGGGUAAUGGCCUACCAAGUCUACGAUCCAUAGCUGGUUUGAGAGGAUGAUCAGCAACACUGGGACUGAGACACGGCCCAGACUCCUACGGGAGGCAGCAGUGGGGAAUCUUAGACAAUGGGCGCAAGCCUGAUCUAGCCAUGCCGCGUGGACGAUGAAGGCCUUAGGGUUGUAAAGUCCUUUCAGAUGGGAAGAUAAUGACGGUACCAUCAGAAGAAGCCCGGCUAACUCCGUG
rnacentral:rRNA from 1 species